rnacentral:rRNA from 1 species
GUCUAUGGUCAUAUCACCCUGAACGCACUCGGUCUUGUCUGAUUUCGGGAGCUAAGCAGGGUCGGGCCUGGUUAGUACCUGGCUGGAAGAUACUGCCUUAUGUUUCAAAGAUA